AGCGAACGCUGGCGGCAGGCUUAACACAUGCAAGUCGAACGGGCAUCUUCGGAUGUCAGUGGCAGACGGGUGAGUAACACGUGGGAACGUACCCUUCGGUUCGGAAUAACUCAGGGAAACUUGAGCUAAUACCGGAUACGCCCUUUUGGGGAAAGGUUUACUGCCGAAGGAUCGGCCCGCGUCUGAUUAGCUUGUUGGUGGGGUAACGGCCUACCAAGGCGACGAUCAGUAGCUGGUCUGAGAGGAUGAUCAGCCACACUGGGACUGAGACACGGCCCAGACUCCUACGGGAGGCAGCAGUGGGGAAUAUUGGACAAUGGGCGCAAGCCUGAUCCAGCCAUGCCGCGUGAGUGACGAAGGCCUUAGGGUUGUAAAGCUCUUUUGCCCGGGACGAUAAUGACGGUACCGGAAGAAUAAGCCCCGGCUAACUUCGUG
rnacentral:rRNA from 1 species